GAUGAACGCUGGCGGCGUGCUUAACACAUGCAAGUCGAACGGUGAAGCAGAGCUUGCUCUGUGGAUCAGUGGCGAACGGGUGAGUAACACGUGAGCAACCUGCCCCUGACUCUGGGAUAAGCGCUGGAAACGGCGUCUAAUACUGGAUAUGAGCUGCGGCCGCAUGGUCAGCAGUUGGAAAGAUUUUUCGGUCUGGGAUAGGCUCACGGCCUAUCAGCUUGUUGGUGAGGUAAUGGCUCACCAAGGCGUCGACGGGUAGCCGGCCUGAGAGGGUGACCGGCCACACUGGGACUGAGACACGGCCCAGACUCCUACGGGAGGCAGCAGUGGGGAAUAUUGCACAAUGGGCGAAAGCCUGAUGCAGCAACGCCGCGUGAGGGAUGACGGCCUUCGGGUUGUAAACCUCUUUUAGCAGGGAAGAAGCGAAAGUGACGGUACCUGCAGAAAAAGCGCCGGCUAACUACGUG
rnacentral:rRNA from 1 species